GGGGGUGUAGCUCAGUCGGUUAGAGCGCUGGCCUGUCACGCCAGAGGCCGCGGGUUCGAGUCCCGUCACUCCCGCCA
rnacentral:tRNA from 7 species